CUCACCAGAUGUCAGCAUCAUGCUCCCUGUACAGCCUACAAAACUGUGAGGAUUCAGGAGAUAAUUCUGCGAACAGAACAUCCUGAGAACUGAGAUAGGGGAAAUCGCUGGUAUUAGAAGGGUGAAAAGAAACUCCUGGAGGGCAGAGCCAUGCCUGCCAUCUUCAUCACUGCAUUACCACCACCCAGCACAGUGCCUGGCACAAAAGAGUUGCUCAAUACAUAAAUCAGGAUGAAUGGAUAAAUACACGGAUAGGCACUUUGAACUACAGAUGAGCUUAAAUACUUUGUGUUUCUCUUAGUCAAACAUGUGCAAUUAAGCAUGUGAUAAAUGAUAUGACCUCA
rnacentral:lncRNA from 1 species